rnacentral:rRNA from 1 species
UACGGGGGGUGCGAGCGUUGUUCGGAAUUACUGGGCGUAAAGCGCACGUAGGCGGCUUUGUAAGUUAGAGGUGAAAGCCCGGGGCUCAACCCCGGAAUUGCCUUUAAGACUGCAUCGCUUGAAUCCGGGAGAGGUGAGUGGAAUUCCGAGUGUAGAGGUGAAAUGCGUAGAUAUCUGGAGGAACACCGGUGGCGAAGGCGGCAUCCUGGACCGGUAUUGACGCUGAGGUGCGAAAGCGUGGGGAGCAAACAGG